UGACUCCAAACUUCCUGCUCACGUCUCGGUUUACGACAACUUCACCUUGCUUCAGUGUGGGAUGUUCUCCUUCUCGUUCUCUGGGGGCCCCGCCCGGACUCUCUUUGGGUGGACCGUCACCUCUCUUGCCCUUUGACCCGCUGCCUUGCCCAGCAUAGUGGAUCUGUAGAGUCGUGGCACCUUGGCGCCUGGGACGCUCUCCCACUGGAAAUUGCCACUGGCCAGAGGCUGGUUGGAUAUGAAGUCGAAACCCCAGCGCUGCGACGCCUCCUCCAGGUCUUUCCUCAGGGCGGCCUGGUAGUCCGCCCGCAGCUGCGCCCUGUCAACUGGGCCGAACAGGUUCCGCCGCGCAGAGCGUUUCCCCAAGGGGUUCGAGAUCCGCUUGAUGUUUGCCAUCAUUCGACACUAAAAAAAAAACACACACACAGAAGGUGGUAAAGUCUCAAACUGUACCAAAGCUCAAUAUUUGCUUAAUACAAAAAGUGAUUUCUCCAUGAGCAACAUUUGAACUUUCUAAAUCCAAUACUACAGUUCGAAGCUAUACCUUCAGACAUUUCAAAAAGUGUCUUACCAUUGUUGUAAGCUUCCUCAGUGAGUAUAACAGCGCAUCUGAGAUUGGUGUUAGUGUGGACUCUAUUUAUAAUACUCAGCCUGAGACGUGACUCACUAGCCCCUCCCACACGAGCGGGACUUGUACAUGUCCGGACACAGUUUCACUCAGACAUGUGAGGGCAAGUUCUCAGGCUAAAGUUGGAUGACUGCACCACUAGGAGGUGCUCUCAGGCCAUCUGCAUUGAAAGGACCGCAAUGGUCCACUUGUGAAGAUCACACAAGGGGGCAUGUAGGGCCAAGUAAAUUGAGCGAAUAAAGCAACAUCAUGAUGAUGAUCGUGAUAACCAAUUCGUCGAGGGGGAAUACUGGCAUGGUACGUUUACCCUAAAAGCUACACAGGAAGGAAUCAACUGUAUCUUGUGAGAAUAAUGAGUCAUUACACCCAUCCAGGAAGGGUUGGGCAGGUCCUAUGGUCAAUUUAGAAACUUCAGUAACAUAGAAAGACAUACACAUCAAAACUGAACACAAGCUCUGAACAUACGGGGAUGCCAGUAUUGAGAUUCGAACCCAGACCCUCCCACUGCGAUACUCUGAUAAGCUCUAAAAUAUCUAAAGACCUCAAAAUCGACCUUUUUUGGGUACCAUUUUUUGUGUUGAUAGUGUAAUGUUUGACUUUAGAAUUUAAAAGACACUUUUUAUUCACAAAUAUUCAUUGGAUAUUUGCCAAAGGUUCUGGUAGAACAUCUGCACUACUCAAUCUGGCCACAGGAGGGAGUCAAAGAGGACUGGUGCAAUGUGCCAUUUUUCCAGGAAUUGGGGCUCAUUCAUUUGAACUCGAGAGACCGUUCUCACGUGUUUUGAAAUACACACGUCUGACUCAGACUUUACUGAGUCUGAAACAGUAAAGCUAUACAUAGGAUCAUUGUACUCACGGGACUCAUAACUUCACUGACCCCACCCACCCAUCUUGACAUUUCCAAAUGUACUUCAAGAAAAUUCAACUGUUCCUGUAGACCAGGUCUACGAUUAUGGCAGUAAGAAUCGCAAUUCCAUAUAAGGCAUAUGAACGUAUAGGUGGCUUGUAAUGGACUUAAGAACAUUCUGAGAAUGACUUUGGAAAAGUUGACUUUUGACCUCCCACCCUCUUAUGACAUAAAUGGUGACUUGAUUCCUGUGAAAUGUAUGUUUUAAUUGGCUUUUUAAAUAAUUGCUCUACAAUUUAAUCUAUAGGCAUUUCUACACCAAUUUGGAAAGAAUGUGACAUUUUGGGCGAGUAUCAUUACAUUUGAAAUGCCGCCGCUCCCUUUAAAACGGAAAUGACGCAGGAGGACUGCUGGAUGGGAGGACCGAAGCGAGGGAUUCAAGGCUGUGGCGGGAGAAGGAGAGCCAGCCCACUUACUAUGCCGGUACACGUGAGUACCAAACUCGUGUCGGCCUACUAUGACCUGUCAACUAAGACUGACACGCUCCCUUUGCCAAACAACUCUGGUAAGUAAUUUUAUAACAAAUGAAAAUCAAGACUACUGUAUAAAUCACUUAAAUGUUGGACAAAGGCUGAGAUUAACCGGAGUCAAAUUUCCUUUUUGACAUGUACAAACCUGCUCAAAAAAGCUGAUUCUGAUAAUGUAAUAAUCUACUACUACUGCUAUUACUUCAACUACUACUAGGACAUCACUCAACCAGGUGGAAGACAUUCUUAUUUAUUCCAUAAUGCUAAUUAGGUCACUUUUAAAACAGACAAAAUAGCCCCAAUUUAAAGUCAAGAACAAUUGAAAAACACAUAAAUCGCUUUACUUACAGUGACAGUCUACAGUCGUCUGAUUGAAGCCUUGUUCUGUGCUAGUUCAAGCCCUUUGGCGUUAGCCUCUAAAAAAGGAUGACAAGCUUUGUGAGGUUACCGACAGACAACUUGGUGUCUCAAGUUUUCUCACACGGAGGUUAGUCAGGGGCUUUUAGACUUGCGAUGGGCGGGGAGCUCAGUUUCUUGUGUGGGGGUGUGGCUUGCUGGGUUCCCACACGUGUAUCGAGCCCAGUGACACGUGACACUUGGAUCAGUGCUUGAAGGAAAUUCCAGCACCUCAAUGUCUGUAGAUGCGUGGAAGGUCAUUUUGUCAGCAUUUUCCCCUCAUGGAGACUGACAAAUAGUAUCCCUUUGAGGGGAAAAAAUAUGACAAAAUUGGAACAUAGGAGGUUUGGCCCACUACCCUUGAUAUAACCCAGAGGUGGGCAAAUUUGUGCUCACCCAGUUUAGCCUCGGGAAUUGAAGAUGUUGCAACCUCAGUGCAGUUACAGUGGUGUAUUUGCUGUAUACUCACGCUGUGCUCUUUGACCUUCCCCACUCUGCAACAUUAACUACAGGUUCCUAGGUUCCAGUUUAAUAAUAAUAGGACUAAUACAUCCAGUCCUCAUAUGUACUGAAAUGAGUGUAAACACAAAGAUACGUUUGUAAAUGAUCAGCAUUUGAGGGGCUGGCUAUACAUUACAGUGAAGGUUUGUCAAUAUGUGCAGCUGAGCUCUGCUGCUCGAGGCCUUUGCGCUGCAGCCACAUACAUUCAAUGGUCACAACACUGCAGGUGUUAAACUUAAGGAUUUGGUUCACCACACCUAAAGCAAAUCCUGCAUAUGCUUCAUUUGCCUGGUAAAAAUCGGUGUCUUUAAAAAACAGCAAGAUAUUGCAAGUAUAUUUUUAUGUUUGUUGCAAAAUUUUUGUUUGUUGAAAAUUGAAUGAAAUAGUCAUGUUAUCCUCAAUUAAUUAUGUAAGUAUAAUGUAAUGAUAUGAUGAGCAGAUUAAACAUUUACAGACUUGUGGUUUGUGAAAGAAUCGAUCUUAUAUAUAUUUUUUUACAACAUUUAAAAAUAGAAUAUGUUGAAAUGAACACUGCAAGCCAUGCUAACGGCUUAUUCUUUUUUAAUCCAUUUUAUGUACUUUUCAAAUGCAGUUCUGUUGUAUUUAACUUUUAAUUACAACAGUGUAGACGUUUUGUAAAUGGCUCCCGUGUUUUCUACGUGUCACCUCUCCGUGGUCGUCACAUGACAUUCACAUCCAUCAUGUUUAUUACAUAACAGUGGGUGGGUUAGAUACCUUAACUAAAGUAACUGAGUGGAUUCCCGCUAAUUCACGAGAGCCGCCCUAGCGGAGACCCGUGAGUCACGGCCCACGAACACGUCACAAGUUCGACCCAUCUAUAGAAUCCUUUGCGCAAAUCGUGGAAAGGCGCGCGCAAUUUUGAGAGGCCGGCCCCGCUUCUCCACGUGUGUGUGUGUGUGUGUGUGUGUGUGUGUGUGUGUGUGUGUGUGUGUGAGCGCGUUAUGCCUCUUCACGUGGAAUGUAUGCGUGAACAUACCAGCCGUGGGACUGCAAAAUGUAAUUGGAUAGUGGGAUGAGCGGGUGGUGUUAGUGGGGAGACCUCCCGUGGGUCGCGAGAUUUUGAUCUCAGGGAAAAAGGAAUUUCUGAUUAUCUUUGAAUAAACUCUUCAUUAAGCACAUCAUGUCCUCUGCUUUUUACAGCUGCUUGCUCAGCUUCUUUAAAAUACAAACACCCCUUUUAUAAUUAUUCCUGAUAAGUAUUAUAACAGUUUUAUCUGCAGCAUCAAUAUUUAGUGUGUAGACUUGCAUAUCUGUUAUUUUUUGUACAUAUUUACCAUAUAUGUAACAUGACUUAUUCCUUGUACAAAUGUGUGCAGGACUGCACCGAUUAUACUCAUGCAUUCACAAUUUUAUCAGCCACACAAGGACAGCGUUAUUUGGAUGUCUUAUCUUUUUUUGGGUAUAGGGUUAAAACACUCAAACAGGCGAAUUAGAUAAUUUAACCACAAGAGCACCUAAAUAAAUUUGUAACCUUGAAGUGUGUUAUUGACAACACUCCCGGAUUAGAUUCAUACAGUAUUAUCUUCUAUGAUGGUGCCCACUGUUAUGACAUUAACCCCACAGGUUAUAGUGAGUGUAAUAAUCUAGGGGUGGAGAACUUUUCCCGAUAAUAUUGGAGUAUUGUACUAAAUUCACAAUUACGAUGUAACCAACAUGAUAAAUAUGCAGAUGACCCCAACCUGAAUCAAGGGAGAGCUCAAAUGUAAAUCAAUUGUGUAGUUUGCUGCAGAAAUCCAGAAACCAGUGUCGGGCGAAAUCUUCCUACCUCCAAAACCAUCACCUUUCAGGAGAAACCCAAAAGUGGCCAAUACAGAUGAGUAAAGAAAUUUACCAGUUGUGCAGCUUCGUUAGCAAUAUGUGAAAACAGCGCCAUCUGUAUUUCCUCAAUAGGCAAAUUUAUUUGUAAUGCUACACUUGUCCUAUUAAACUGAAUUAAAACCAAAAUUAACCAACUGAAGUUUCCCAUAGCAUUUUGGGAGCACCUAAAUAAAAAGAUGGCCUCUAAUUGAGGAACUAGAGUUUGAUUAUUGGAACUUACCACAUAUGAGCAAAGAUAGCAAUGAGAGGAAAAGCAGUGUAAACUUGUUUGAAACAACCAGUCUCUUUAAUUGAGGGACAAUUACACAUAGUAUCAAAGUACAGAAAAUGAAAAAUUGAUUCAGGUCAACGGAUAGGUUUUAUUCCUCUUAGAUCACCCACCCACACAUGGAUGGAAAUCUUCACUAUUUCGUAAGAAAGUAGCAUGAACAUCAGUUGGCCUUCAAUAUCGCACUAAGGAAUGCAGCGCGCAAAUUUCUUCCUUCCAAAUCCAAACACAAUGAAACUAUGGGUCAAACUACACAUCCAUUUAUAAAAACAGAAAGACCAACACAUUGUUGGGUGAUUACUGGUGGAAUGCUAAGGUGGUGCACUUUCAGGACUGGUAUGAAAACAUCACUCC